rnacentral:rRNA from 1 species
CGGCGGACGGGUGAGUAAUGCCUAGGAAUCUGCCUGGUAGUGGGGGACAACGUUUCGAAGGGAACGCUAAUACCGCAUACGUCCUACGGGAGAAAGCAGGGGACCUUCGGGCCUUGCGCUAUCAGAUGAGCCUAGGUCGGAUUAGCUAGUUGGUGAGGUAAUGGCUCACCAAGGCGACGAUCCGUAACUGGUCUGAGAGGAUGAUCAGUCACACUGGAACUGAGACACGGUCCAGACUCCUACGGGAGGCAGCAGAU